GAUGAAGAACGCAGCGAAAUGCGAUAAGUAGUGUGAAUUGCAGAAUUCAGUGAAUCAUCGAAUCUUUGAACGCACAUUGCGCCUCCUGGCAUUCCGGGAGGCAUGCCUGUUCGAGCGUCAUCAAACCCCAUCGUGCAAAUGAAUUAUUUUUUUUGCGCGGAAGUGACGAUUGAGCGAGAAUAACAAAUCCUCUCGCACCUCGUCGAAAUGAUUGCGGGCGGAAUUUGGGAUCGGGUUCCUCGGCGUAGUGUAUCAAUGCAUAUUUAUGCAACUUGCCGCGGAGUUGAGCCUGACCCACGCGUUCUCGCCGUACAAACACCUCAUUACUUUACAAGUUUUUGACCUCGGAUCAGGUAGGGAUACCCGCUGAACUUAAGCAUAUCAAUAAGCCGAGGA
rnacentral:misc_RNA from 1 species